UACUUGGUGGCGUAGCCCAUGCUGAGCAUGCGGUUGGUGAGGUGCCGGUCAUCCCCAAAAGUGCAGUGGGUGCCCAGGAACUUCUGGUUGUACCAGGCCUCAAGAAACUGCUGCAGGAGGUGGUUCCUGUAUAGGCCUAGGGGACCACUGAUGCAGGACACACAGUGGAAGUAGCUCUGACAGGCCCGCUCCACGUUGAAGGCCACCCAGUACCGCAGGCUGCUUAAGAAGCUGACCCAGGAGUCCAGAGGGUUGAGGAUCCGCACGUCCCCCCCAACAGCCCCCACCCGGGGGUCAUCGUCCAGCACCCGCACCAACUCCAGCAGGGCCAUAGGGUCCAGCCUCGUGUCUGAGUCGCAGACCUGUGGGGUAGAAGGGACCAGGAUCAGGCUAGAUCUCUGAAUGGAGCUGGUGCUUGAGGGGAGGGCACCUAGGGGUGGGGAGCCGCUGGGACACUCUGCAGCCAAUCCUAUAUAAUAAAAGGCUAAUAUGCAAAUUGUCCCCUCGACCAGGCGUUCGACCAGGGGGCAGGGCCAGUGGGCCAACCACCCAUAGCCCCUCCCCCUGGCCAGCGCGAGAUGAUGGGCCCCGAUUGGGACAGGCCAGCCAGACCCCACCCGUGCAUGAAUUCGUGCACCAGGCCUCUAGUUUGAACAUAACCUUGAAUUCUUAGUAAUUUUCAACGUCUAAUCACAUUUUAAGAUGACCGGUACCCUCCCAAGACCCAUGCUGUUGUAUAAUAAAUACCCUCUCUGGUGUUUGGGCUGGACCUGUAUAACUUUCUUCUAACAGACUAUGGCAAAAGUGAUGGGAUGUAACUCCCGUGAUUAUAUAACCUUUUAUGGGAACGGUGAAGGGUUUUGUAAUGUCAGUAAGGUUCCUAAUCUCUUAACUGUUAAUUAAUCAAAGGUAAAUUAUGCAGGGCGGGCCUGACCUAGUCAGGUGAGCCCCAUACAAGAGGGGCGAGCAGUUCAAGACUUUCUGUUGCUAGUCUGGGGGAGGCAGGCUACCAUGAGUUUUAUGAUGGUGAAAAAAAAAAAAAUCUGCCAACAAAUACAUGAGCUUGGAAGAGGCCGCUGAGCCUCAGAUAAGACCCACGCUUGCAGCCUGAUGGUACCCUGAACAGAGGACCCAGCUGAGCUUUGCCCAGACUCCUGAGCCAUGGAAACAAGGAGAUAAUAAAUGUGUUUUGUUUCAAGCUGAACAAGGUAUGGUCAUUCGUUAUGCAGUAACAGAGAACGAAUGCCAUGCGUUGGUGAAUGAAUCGCUACACUGAACGAAUGAGUGAAUGACUAAGUGAACAAAUGACUCUCUAGAUGGAAUAGAUAGGUAAAUGGAUGAAAAUAAUGAACAAGAGAAUCUUAACAUUGAAGGAAGGAAGAGAAUGAAGGGAUCUCUAAAUUUAAUAAAUAGCCCUAGCCAGUUUGGCUCAGUGGAUAGAGCAUUGGCCUGCGGACUGAAGGGUCCCAGAUUCAAUUCCGGUCAAGGGCAUGGACCUUGUUUGUGGGCACAUCCCCAGUGGGGAGUGUGCAGGAGGCAGCUGACCAAUGUCUCUAACUCUCUAUCCAUCUCCCUUCCUCUCUGUAAAAAACCAAUAAAAUAUAUUUU